GACGAACGCUGGCGGCGUGCUUAACACGUGCAAGUCGAGCGGAAAGGCCACUUCGGUGGUACUCGAGCGGCGAACGGGUGAGUAACACGUGAGUAAUCUGCCCCUGGCUUUGGGAUAGCCACCGGAAACGGUGAUUAAUACCGGAUAUGACACAUUCUCGCAUGAGUUUGUGUGGAAAGUUUUUCGGCCAGGGAUGUGCUCGCGGCCUAUCAGCUUGAUGGUGAGGUAAUGGCUCACCAUGGCUUCGACGGGUAGCCGGCCUGAGAGGGUGACCGGUCACACUGGGACUGAGACACGGCCCAGACUCCUACGGGAGGCAGCAGUGGGGAAUAUUGGACAAUGGGCGGAAGCCUGAUCCAGCAACGCCGCGUGAGGGAUGACGGCCUUCGGGUUGUAAACCUCUUUCAGUACCGACGAAGCGCAAGUGACGGUAGGUACAGAAGAAGCACCGGCCAACUACGUG
rnacentral:rRNA from 1 species